UAGGGAAUCUUCGGCAAUGGGGGGAACCCUGACCGAGCAACGCCGCGUGAGUGAAGAAGGUUUUCGGAUCGUAAAGCUCUAUUGUUAAGUAAGAACGAGUGUGAGAAUGGAAAGUUCAUGCUGUGACGGUACUUAACCAGAAAGGGACGGCUAACUACGUGCCAGCAGCCGCGGUAAUACGUAGGUCCCGAGCGUUGUCCGGAUUUAUUGGGCGUAAAUCGAGCGCAGGCGGUUAGAAAAGUCUGAAGUGAAAGGCAGUGGCUCAACCAUUGUAGGCUUUGGUGACUGUUUAACUUGAGUGCAGAAAGGAAGUGUGGAAUUCCAUGUGUAGCGGUGAAAUGCGUAAAUAUAUGGAGGAACGCCGGUGGCGAAAGCGGCUCUCUGGUCUGUUACUGACGCUGAGGCUCGAAAGCGUGGGGAGCGAACAGG
rnacentral:rRNA from 1 species